rnacentral:lncRNA from 10 species
CAGGAUAAUGGCCCCAAGGGUGGAAUCGCAUCUGGUAGCUGUUUCUUCUCAGCCCAGUGAGCGGACACCAGAUCGAUCCUUCCUCCCCGAAUGCUGCCAGAGAGACUGGAGAAUCAUGUAGGAUGGAAGGUCAGCAGAAACGCAAGGGGCCGUUAUGAUGAGGACUGAGAGAGGCAUCCCGUACCAGGCAGCAGGAUGCUCCAUUGGAAUAGCACAGCAGGACAGGCUGGCACUGCUUUUGACUGUGUCCACCAAUUCACCUGUUACACAGAUACCCUUGAUGUCAUUGUAUGCAGAUCGAGAAGACCCUCUCUGAUGAUAUAGAGCUUUUUUAAUGCAGGAAAAUCAUCUGUAAGAAAGUUUCACCAGGUGAGGUGGCUCAUGCCUAUAAUCCCAGCACUUUGGGAGGCCGAGGUGGGCAGGUGGAUGACCUGAGGUUGGGAGACCAGUCUGAUCAACAUGGAGAAAUGCAAUCUCUACUAAAAAUACAAAAUUAGCCGGGCCUGGUGGCGCAUGCCUGUAAUCCCAGCUACUAAGAA